rnacentral:rRNA from 1 species
CGUAGGGGGCUAGCGUUGUCCGGAAUCAUUGGGCGUAAAGCGCGCGUAGGCGGCCCGGUAAGUCCGCUGUAAAAGUCAAAGGCUUAACCUUUGAAUGUCAGUGGAUAUUGCCGGGCUAGAGUCCGGAAGAGGCGAGUGGAAUUCCUGGUGUAGCGGUGGAAUGCGCAGAUAUCAGGAGGAACACCAACGGCGAAGGCAGCUCGCUGGGACGGUACUGACGCUGAGGCGCGAAAGCGUGGGGAGCAAACAGGAUUAGAUACCCUGGUAGUCCACGCCGUAAACGAUGGGCACUAGGUGUGGGAGGUGUCGACUCCUCCCGUGCCGGCGCUAACGCAUUAAGUGCCCCGCCUGGGGAGUACGGCCGCAAGGCUA